rnacentral:rRNA from 1 species
UACAGAGGGGGCAAGCGUUGUUCGGAAUUACUGGGCGUAAAGGGCGCGUAGGCGGCCUGUUAAGUCGAACGUGAAAUCCCCGGGCUCAACCCGGGAACUGCGUCCGAUACUGGCAGGCUUGAAUCCGGGAGAGGGAUGCGGAAUUCCAGGUGUAGCGGUGAAAUGCGUAGAUAUCUGGAGGAACACCGGUGGCGAAGGCAGCCCCCUGGGAUAACACUGACGCUCAUGCACGAAAGCGUGGGGAGCAAACAGG